GAGGGAGGGAGGAAUACCACAAGACUCUCAAGGACUGAGAACAAAUUAAGGGUAGAUAGGAGGUGGGGGAGAGGGGAAAGUGGGUGGUGGGCAGGGAGGAGGGCACUUGUUGGGAUGAGAACUGGGUGUUGUAUGGAAUCCAAUUUGACA